rnacentral:rRNA from 1 species
CAGUCGCCGCGGUAAUACGUAGGUGGCAAGCGUUGUCCGGAAUUAUUGGGCGUAAAGCGCGCGCAGGUGGUUUAAUAAGUCUGAUGUGGAAGCCCACGGCUCAACCGUAGAGGGUCAUUGGAAACUGUUAAACUUGAGUGCAGGAGAGAAAAGUGGAAUUCCUAGUGUAGCGGUGAAAUGCGUAGAGAUUAGGAGGAACACCGGUGGCGAAAGCGGCUCUCUGGUCUGUCACUGACGCUGAGGCUCGAAAGCGUGGGUAGCGAACAGGAUUAGAUACCCCGGUAGUCCCUGUCUCUUAUAU